CCCUUAGAUGUUCUGGGCCGCACGCGCGCUACACUGAUGAACGCAACGAGACCACCUGUACCGAAAGGCAUGGGUAAACUUGUGAAAGUUCAUCGUGAUGGGGAUAGAUUAUUGCAAUUAUUAAUCUUCAACGAGGAAUUCCUAGUAAGCGCGAGUCAUCAGCUCGCGUUGAUUACGUCCCUGCCCUUUGUACACACCGCCCGUCGCUCCUACCGAUUGAAUGGUCCGGUGAAGCCUCCGGAUUGGCGCGCACCUCGGUGCCGCCGAGAAGUUGGCUAAACCUNANCAUUUGNAGGAAGGUGANGUCGUNACA
rnacentral:rRNA from 1 species